GACGUAGGAUGCAAGCGUUAUCCGGAAUUAUUGGGCGUAAAGAGUUCGUAGGUGGUUUGUUAAGUAAGGCGUUAAAUCUUCGGGCUUAACCCGGAGUUGGCGUCUUAAACUGGCUCACUAGAGAUAGGUAGAGGUAAGUGGAAUUCUGUAUGUAGGGGUAAUAUCCGUAGAUAUGCAGAGGAACACCAAAAGCGAAAGCAACUUACUGGACCUGUUCUGACACUCAAGAACGAAAGCGUGGGGAGCAAACGGG
rnacentral:rRNA from 1 species